rnacentral:rRNA from 1 species
CCUACGGGGGCUGCAGUGGGGAAUAUUGGACAAUGGGCGAAAGCCUGAUCCAGCCAUGCCGCGUGUGUGAAGAAGGCCUUCGGGUUGUAAAGCACUUUCAGUGGGGAAGAAAGCCUUGGGGCUAAUACCCUCGAGGAAGGACAUCACCCACAGAAGAAGCACCGGCUAACUCCGUGCCAGCAGCCGCGGUAAUACGGGGGUGCGAGCGUUAAUCGGAAUUACUGGGCGUAAAGCGCGCGUAGGCGGUCUGAUAAGCCGGUUGUGAAAGCCCCGGGCUCAACCUGGGAACGGCAUCCGGAACUGUCAGGCUAGAGUGCAGGAGAGGAAGGUAGAAUUCCCGGUGUAGCGGUGAAAUGCGUAGAGAUCGGGAGGAAUACCAGUGGCGAAGGCGGCCUUCUGGACUGACACUGACGCUGAGGUGCGAAAGCGUGGGUAGCAAACAGGAUUAGAUACCCCAGUAGUC